AUGAACGCUGGCGGCGUGCCUAAUACAUGCAAGUCGAGCGAACAGACGAGGAGCUUGCUCCUCUGACGUUAGCGGCGGACGGGUGAGUAACACGUGGAUAACCUACCUAUAAGACUGGGAUAACUUCGGGAAACCGGAGCUAAUACCGGAUAAUAUAUUGAACCGCAUGGUUCAAUAGUGAAAGACGGUUUUGCUGUCACUUAUAGAUGGAUCCGCGCCGCAUUAGCUAGUUGGUAAGGUAACGGCUUACCAAGGCAACGAUGCGUAGCCGACCUGAGAGGGUGAGCGGCCACACGAGAAAUGAGACACGGCCCAGCCUCCGCGGGGAGGCAGCAGUGGGGAUUCUUCCCAAAGGGGCGAAAGCCGGACGGAGAAACGCCGGGGGAGGAAUGAAGGUCUCGGGAUCUAAAAACUUUUUUAUGGGGAAAGAAAAAAUGUGAAAGAAACUAUGCCCGUCUGGAGGUUACCUAAUAAGAAAGCCACGGCUAACUACGUC
rnacentral:rRNA from 1 species